AAAUAAAAAAUUUUAAAUGAUAAAAUGUAGGAAAUUUUAUGAAAAAUAUUUUGUUAGUU
rnacentral:sRNA from 1 species